GGUGAAGAACGUAGCGAAAUGCGAUACUUGGUGUGAAUUGCAGAAUCCCGUGAACCAUCGAGUCUUUGAACGCAAGUUGCGCCCGAAGCCAUCAGGUUGAGGGCACGUCUGCCUGGGCGUCACAUAUCGUUGUUCGAUGCCUAUCGCAUUGCGAUAGGACUUAGGGCGAAUGAUGGCUUCCCGUGAGCGUUGUUGCCUCGCGGUUGGUUGAAAAUCGAGUCCUUGGUAGGGUGUGCCAUGAUAGAUGGUGGUCGAGUUAGCACGAGAGCGAUCAUGUGCAUGCUCCCCAAAAUAUGGCCUCUGUGACCCACACGCGUCUUUUGACGCUCAUGACGAGACCUCAGGUCAGGCGGGGCUACCCGCUGAAUUUAAGCAUAUCAAUAAGCGGAGGA
rnacentral:misc_RNA from 1 species